rnacentral:rRNA from 1 species
UGGGGAAUCUUCCGCAAUGGGCGAAAGCCUGACGGAGCAAGACCGCGUGGGGGAGGAAGGUUUGUGGAUUGUAAACCCCUUUUAAUGGUGAAGAUGAUGACGGUAGCCAUUGAAUCAGCAUCGGCUAACUCCGUGCCAGCAGCCGCGGUAAUACGGAGGAUGCAAGCGUUAUCCGGAAUGAUUGGGCGUAAAGCGUCCGUAGGUGGUUUUACAAGUCAAUUGUUAAAGCGUGGAGCUUAACUCCAUAAGGGCAGUUGAAACUGUGAGACUAGAGAUUAGUAGGGGUAGAAGGAAUUCCCUGUGUAGCGGUGAAAUGCGUAGAUAUAGGGAAGAACACCGACGGCGAAAGCACUCUGCUGGACUAAGACUGACACUGAU